UUGGUACUCCCUCCGUCCGAAAAAGCUUGUCCCAAGCUUGUUCCUCAAAUGAAUGUAUCUAGCACUAACUUGGUGCUAGAUACAUUUAUUUGAGGGACAAGCUUUUUCAGACGGAGGGAGUAUUGA
rnacentral:pre_miRNA from 1 species